rnacentral:lncRNA from 1 species
CUUUUAUAACGUUUGGACUCAAGACUAUGUCCGCACCAGAGGUUCAGGUAAGAGGGUUCAUUUGACUCGGGAAGUAGGUGUUAUGCAUUCCCCAAGUCCCGUAACUAGUACGGUUGCGUACUCGAUCUAAUUGACUUUUAGAAUAUUCGAAUUGAGAAAAACAAACACAGAAAAGAAAACAAACACACAAGAGGUCCGAGGUCGCUCCCACCUAAUAAAAGGAAAAGAAAACUAAAGCUAAAAAUACUAUGAGUUUCACUUUAAGCCUCCGAAUACAAGUACUUCGGGGCAUACCCCGAAAUAAAAUAUAUACAAGUCCUUCGGGGCAUUUCCCGGAUAAAUACAACUACGGGAACAACCUCUCGCCUUGAAUCAAACAAAAUUCCUAACGAUUGACUACCCGGGUGUUGUCUGCCUAAGCAUACUCCUAGCGAUUGAAAGAUAGAAAUAAAACUAACGUUAACUCGUUUCAUGCUCACUUUUCUUUUAACUUCUUAUUUCAUGCAUUUGACGAAGCCCAAUUCCCAUGUCCUAAAUCAUUCAAACAUAUAAUUUUCAACCAAUGUUGACUUACAAGAUUACAUGGCUUC